CGGCACCGCCGGGGCGGGACCGCCGCCGUGCCCAUGGAGACCGGGCAGCCGCGGCACGGCCGCGCGGAGCCGGCGGGAGAGCGGCGGGUUCGGGCCGAGCCGGGGAGGCUGCGGGAGCUGCUGGAGCUGCGGCAGCGGCAGCUGCGGUCCCGCAUCGCCGCCUGCGAGGAGCUGCGGGCGGAGAUGGCCGCGCUGCGGGCGGCGCUGAGCCCCGGCCCGGCGGGCGGCGCGGGCCCUGAGGAGCCCUGAGGAGCCCUGAGGAGCCCUGAGGAGCCCCGGCGGCGGCGGCGGGAGCGAGGAUCGGCCCCGCGGAAGGGACCGAGGGCUCGGGGCUCCGGGAACGCUCCCCGGUGCUGGGGGAGCACUGACGGCUCCCCCGCCGCAGCCUUGGAGCUCGCUCGGGCUCGCCGCUCUCGUGCCUUAUCGCAUUAAAUUUACACUUCAGAACAAA